CUGGCUCAUGAAGAUGCUUGCCACUGGGCCAGGUUCUAACGGAUAAAACUUCACAGAGAAGAAAAGGAGCAGGCUGAAGAUGAAUUAAAUUGAGCCUGGAAGCACAGACCCUUCCUUGCUCGGCCCGUGCCUCAUCUGGACAGAAUUGCAGGCUUAUCCUCUCCCACCUGAUGGAUAAUUUCCUGCACGACACAUUGCAAGACAAUCUGAAAAAUCAGACCCAGAGUUCCUGUCGUGGCCCAGCAGAAAUGAAUCCGACUGGGAACCAUGGGGUUGAGGGUUCGAUCCCUGGCCUUGUUCAGUGGAUUGUGGAUCUGAAAUUGCUGUGAGUUGUGGUGUGGGUCGCAGAUGUGGCUUGGAUCUGGUGUGGCUGUGGCUGUGGCUGUGACUGGCAGCUGUCCCCUUGGACCCCUGGCCUGGGAACCUCCAUAAUGCCACGGGUGCAGCCCUAAAAAGCAAAAAAAAAAGCUGUUCUUAUUAACCCACAGGGUGAAGGCACUGGAUAGGAGGUUCUUUAAACACCCCUCGAAGUAAAAAAAAAAAAAAAAAAGAAAAAUCAGAC
ensembl:lncRNA